rnacentral:sRNA from 1 species
UGCCUCGAUCAGACCGCCGCCGCCGUCCUGGCUUGAGUCCCUGAGCGGACUUUUGCCAGACUGCGCCAGUGCGUUGGCCAGGCUCACCGGG